UCAAAAAUAAAUAAGCGGCCUUAUUACAUUUAAAAGCCCAAAACCUCAAACGUAAUUAAAAGGAUGUCCAGUUCACCAGAAGAAAAUCAAACUUUCAGAACGGGUGGCCACUCCGAAUUCCCUCACAGCUCCAAGCCCACUAUAGUUGGGGAUUUCCUGCGUGGAUGAAAAUAAAAGGGGUGAGUUUGGGGAAACUCAGUGUGUAAGGAAAACCCAUUCAAAGCCCAAGUCAGCUCAAGCCCAUUGGGCCUAAGCCCAUUCAGGUAACAAUGGUACUAGGCCAGAGCCCUUUUUAGAUUACAAUAAACUGGGCCUUAGCCCCUUAUUCAGAUAACAGUAUGGCCCAUAGGCCCAUUUCAAAAUACAUGCAACAUCAGUAAACAUAUGCAAGCCCAUUUGGGGAGACUACUCAACCCACCAACC
rnacentral:lncRNA from 1 species